GCAUCACAGAAAUACAUUAUAUUUUAAAGGAUAUUAGAGUAGAAACCAUUAUUUUAUAUUGUAAUAACAUUUUGAAAGAUUACUGUUUUCUUUUCUGUGUUUUUGAUCACAGGGUCCCCGCGGGUCCUUAAAAAGCCUUGAAAAGUCUUAAAUACAAUUUUCGAUUUUUAAGGUCUGAAAAUGUCUUGAAUCCUGGAAUUUUCCAUAUGAAUGUCUUAAAUUUCAUGUGGGAUCUUAAAUUUCAUGUCCGACUCGUCAUUUUUAUUUAUUUUUUUCAACCGCAAUUUGACCAGCGUAACAUUUGGGGGCAGCACUUCGUGGGUGCAACCUGCAUCAUUCCAUAGGUGACAUACGAGUAAGUGAUUGAUGAACGCGUUGCGAUGAUGGUUCGCCACCACGGCAGUUUGCGAAAUCGCAAGCAUGGGCAAAGACGAUAAAGCUGUGGACAAGACCACGAUUGUCAGGUCUCGCUAUCUUGGUUCUCAGUUUUUGAGCCCCUCAACGGCAGAAGACUUGCUGUAGCACUUUAAGGAGGGCACCAAGGAACUUAAUUUAAGGAACAUGCUUUCUGUGUCAAUGGAUCCACAGUAAAUUGGAAAGUCAUGGAUCUCCUACAACUGGAACAUGCAAUAAAUUUCUGAUCCUGAUCUUUCCUACAAUUGUCUGUCAUUCAUUAGGUCUAUGCAUAGAUUAUUGAAUGUGCUUGCAUUUAUCUGUGUCUGAAAUGAC